rnacentral:rRNA from 1 species
AAGCUCGUAGUUGAAUUUCGAAUGUGGCUGGGCGGUCCGCCUCACGGUGUGUACUGUCUGGCUGUGUUCUCUUUCUUGGUGAGCCGGCAUGCCCUUUACUGGGUGUGUUGGGGAACCAGGACGUUUACCUUGAGAAAAUUAGAGUGUUCAAAGCAGGCCUACGCCCGAAUACAUUAGCAUGGCAUAAUAAAAUAGAACGUGCGGUUCUAUUUUGUUGGUUUCUAGAGCCGCAGUAAUGAUUAAUAGGGAUAGUUGGG